AUGCAGGUGCAUAAAGAAAUAAUAGAUGCUGUACCAAAUGCAAUACCUGGGAUAACAGACAUAGAAUUGGAAAUAUAUGGUAUGGAAAGUAUUCCAGAAAAAGACAUGGAUGAAAGACGAUGACUUCUUGAAGAGAAAACAUAAAGCUAAAAAAAGAAGGAACAAGAUGAUUCUGAUGAAUAUGAUGAUGACGACUCUGCAGCCUCAACUUCAUUUCAACCACAACCUGUUCAACUUCAACAAGGUUAUAUUCCUGCAGUGGCACAGCCAGGACUGUCACCAGUAACGGGAGCACCAGGAAUGCCUCCAGGCAUAACUUCAUUAAUGCCAGGUGUUCCUCCUCUGAUUCCAGAAAUGCCACCAGUUAUGCCAGGCAUGCCACCUGGAUUGCAUCAUCAAAGAAAAUGCACCCAGUCAUUUUUCGGUGAAAACAUGAUGAUGCCAAUGGGUGGAAUAUACCACCUGGACCAGGAAUACCACCUCUGAUGCCUGGAAUGUCACCAGGUGUCCCCUCCAUACCCCCAACCCCAUUCCACAUCCUAGAAUUCCUCCAGUGACCCAAGGACAGGCUGGGUCUUAACAGACCACCUGCACCAACAGCAACUGUACCUGCACCACAGCUUCCAGUUACUAAACUGCUUUUCUCCAGUGCUGGACAAGCUCAGGCAGCUGUCCAAGGACUUGUUGGUACAGAUUUCAAACCCUUAAGUAGUACCCCUGAAACAACUACAGCACCCCCAAAGCCUACAUUCCCUGCUUAUACACAAUCUACAGAUUCAACCACUGGUACAACAAAUAGUACUGCAGUUAAACCAGCAGCUUCAGUAGCAAGUAAGCCUGCUACACUUACGGCAACCAAUGCAACCAGUAAGUUGAUCCAUCCAGAAGAGGGUAUCUAUCUGGAAGAGAAAAGGGCACAGUUACCUAGAUAGCAACGUAAUCUUCCUCUGCAAGGAGAGGCCCCCAUCAGUAAUCCACCAGUUGGACCAAUUGGAGAUAUGAUGUGACCAUAGCCAGGCAUCCCACAGCAACAAGGAGUGAGACCCCCAAUGCCACCUCAUGGUCAGUACAGUGGUCAUCAUCCAGGCAUGCCAAGAUACCUUCCUGGUGCUAUCCCCCCAUAUGGGCAGGGACCGCCAAUGGUGCCCCCUUUCCAGGGUGGGCUUCCGAGACCUCCAAAGGGAAUGAGACCUCCUGUAAUCCUGCAAGGUGGCUGUUACUGAUCUUACCUCAUCCUGUCUAAUAGGUUUGGAGAGUAAACCUUUUCCCAACUUGUGCUGUUUAUAUAGCCAAUUUUCCAUCAAUAAGGCUUCAUUGUGACUUUAACAAAUAUUAUCUUCCCACAUACCAGGAACUAUUGGACAUUGAUUUUACAUGGGAAAAAAUAUUUGGAAAAAUAACACAGGAGCUUUUCCUGAAGUUGCAAUUUAUACUGUAUGGCUUCUUUUUCAUGUUUCAUCUAGGUUUGUAGAAGUGAAGUAUAGUAAAUUUGGUUCAUUAAAUUGUGAAGG